GAUGAACGCUGGCGGCGUGCUUAACACAUGCAAGUCGAGCGAAGCGCUUUACUAAGAAUUCUUCGGAAGGAAGAGUUUAGCGACUGAGCGGCGGACGGGUGAGUAACGCGUGGGUAACCUGCCUCAUACAGGGGGACAACAGCUAGAAAUGACUGCUAAUACCGCAUAAGCGCACAGUACCGCAUGAUACAGUGUGAAAAACUCCGGUGGUAUGAGAUGGAUCCGCGUCUGAUUAGCUAGUUGGUAGGGUAACGGCCUACCAAGGCGACGAUCAGUAGCCGACCUGAGAGGGUGACCGGCCACAUUGGGACUGAGACACGGCCCAAACUCCUACGGGAGGCAGCAGUGGGGAAUAUUGCACAAUGGGCGAAAGCCUGAUGCAGCGACGCCGCGUGAGUGAAGAAGUAUCUCGGUAUGUAAAGCUCUAUCAGCAGGGAAGAAAAUGACGGUACCUGACUAAGAAGCCCCGGCUAACUACGUGCCAGCAGCCGCCGUAACAC
rnacentral:rRNA from 1 species